rnacentral:rRNA from 1 species
GACGAGUGGGUUUAGACCCACGGCGAACGGGUGAGUAAUACCUAGGAACUUUUUCACAGUCGGGCAUAACCAGCCGAAAGGUUGGACAAUUCCCGAUACCCCGCAAGGGCAAAGCCGCAAGGCGCUGUGAGUGAGGCCUGGGCACCAUCAGCUAGUUGGUAAGGUAAUGGCUUACCAAGGCUAUGACGGUUAGCGGCCCCGAGAGGGGGAACCGCCACACUGGAACUGCGACACGGUCCAGACUCCUACGGGAGGCAGCAGUUUGGAAUAUUGGACAAUGGGCGAAAGCCUGAUCCAGCGACGCCGCGUGGACGAUGAAGGCCUUCGGGUCGUAAAGUCCUUUUAGCAGGGAAAAAUUUUUGAUUGUACCUGCAGAAUAAGAGGUUGCUAACUCUGUGCCAGCAGCAGCGGUAAUACAGAGACCUCAAACGUUAUCCGGAAUCAUUGGGCGUAAAGCGUACCGAUAGGUGGUUUUACAAGUCAGAAGUGAAAUCUUAAGGCUUAACCUUGAGACUGUCUUUUGAAACUGUAAAACUAGAGGGGCAAAGAGGAAGCUGGAACGAACGGUGUAGUAGUGAAAUGCGUUGAUAUCGUUCGGAACGCCAAUAGCGUAGGCAGGCUUCUGGGUGCCACCUGACACUGCUAGGACGAAAGCGUGGGUAGCGACAAGGAUUAGAUACCCUUUUAGUCCACGCUGUAAACGAUGCACAUUCGGUGCUAGAGAGUAUCGACCCUCUUUAGUACCUAAGCUAACGCGUUAAAUGUGCCGCCUGGGGAGUACGGCCGCAAGGCUAAAACUCAAAGGAAUUGACGGGGACCCGCACAAGCGGUGGAGCAUGUGGUUUAAUUCGACGGUAAGCGAGGAACCUUACCAAGGCUUGACAUAUACCUGCAUAUACCAGAGAUGGUAUAGCCUUCGAGGGUGGUAUACAGUGCUGCACGGUGUCGUCAGCUCGUGCCGUGAGGUGUUCACUUAAGUGUGAAACGAGCGCAACCCCUAC